GCGACUUUUAAAAUCGACAUCAAUGUGAUCCUAUUUAAUGUGUAGAUAAAGUGAUCGUGUUUGUUAUGUAUCUGUAAAAAAAAUUUGUUGAGUAUUUUUGUGCAUGGAGGAUUUUAAUCACAUCUAACGAACGAUUACCAUACAACCUUCAGAGCCACUUCAACAAGCCACAUGUGAUGGAUACUUGCACAGGAAGCGCAGAGCGUCUUGAAUAGAAUAAUUUCGUACAGAUAAAAGUGUACGUCGAAGCGGCUCUCACCUCUCAAAAAUCAGAUAAGCUAUAUUACAUAAUUUUGUGCUAAAAUUUUGAGGUGUUCGGUACAGAAAACUAAAUAUCAGUGAUUUUCAUGACCCGAUACUCCUGCUACCAGGUAUGAGGAUUCCUGGCACCAUCUGAUAAAAAGAAAAAUCUCAUCAAUAUGUCUCGCACGGGCAGUGUAUCGCUUAGUGAGCUUAGUUUAUUGAAUAAAUUUAGCUCGUAACUAUUAAUAUGUCUAUUUUAAUAAUAUUUUUAAUAAAUUACUGUUAUGAUCUUAUACACUUUAUACAAAUACAAUAAAUAUUUCUGUAUCUAAACAAA